AACCAGCUCUUCGAGUGGUUGGGACUUUUAUUGGGCCUAAAGCGUGCGUAGCCUGACCCGUAAGCCCCUGGUUAAAUCCGACAGCUCAACUGUUUGGGCCGCUAGGGGUACUGCGGGUCUUGGAGGCGGGAGAGGUGAGCGGUACUUCAUGGGUAGGGGUGAAAUCCUGUCAUCCAUGGGGGACCACCGAUGGCGAAGGCAGCUCACUAGAACGCGCUCGACGGUGAGGCACGAAACCCAGGGGAGCGAACCGGAUUAGAUACCCCCGUA
rnacentral:rRNA from 1 species